rnacentral:rRNA from 1 species
UACGUAGGGCGCAAGCGUUGUCCGGAAUUAUUGGGCGUAAAGAGCUCGUAGGCGGUUUGUCGCGUCUGCUGUGAAAACCUAAGGCUCAACCUUGGGCUUGCAGUGGGUACGGGCAGACUAGAGUGCGGUAGGGGUGACUGGAAUUCCUGGUGUAGCGGUGGAAUGCGCAGAUAUCAGGAGGAACACCAGCGGCGAAGGCGGCGCUCUGGGCCGGUACUGACACUGAGGAGCGAAAGCGUGGGUAGCAAACAGG